AUACGGAGGAUCCGAGCGUUAUCCGGAUUUAUUGGGUUUAAAGGGUGCGCAGGCGGGAUAUUAAGUCGGCGGUGAAAUUUUGCAGCUCAACUGUAAAAGUGCCUUCGAAACUGGUUUCCUUGAGUGUAGAUGAAGGAGGCGGAAUUUGUGGUGUAGCGGUGAAAUGCAUAGAUAUCACGAGGAACUCCGAUUGCGCAGGCAGCUUACUAAACUACUACUGACGCUCAGGCACGAAGGCGUGGGGAUCAAACAGGAUUAGAUACCCUGGUAGUCCACGCAGUAAACGAUGAUUACUAGCUGUUUGCGAUACAAUGUAAGCGGCUGAGCGAAAGCGUUAAGUAAUCCACCUGGGGAGUACGUUCGCAAGAAUGAAACUCAAAUGAAUUGACGGGG
rnacentral:rRNA from 1 species